CCCUUAGAUGUCCUGGGCCGCACGCGCGCUACACUGAGUGUCUGAGAUACGAGUCUGCCUGGUCCGGCAAGGUCUAGGUAAUCGCUAAAAGACACAUCAUGCUUGGGAUAGAUUAUUGCAAAUAUUAAUCUUGAACGAGGAAUUCCUAGUAAGCGCAAGUCAACAGCUUGCGUUUAUUACGUCCCUGCCCUUUGUACACACCGCCCGUCGCUACUACUGAUUGGAUGUUUAAGCGAGGUUCUCGAACUGCUAGCGACUUAGCUUCGGUGAGGUCGCAGUGUGAGAAGUGAACCUAGCUUUGGUGUCUAGAGGAAGUAAAAGUCGUAACA
rnacentral:rRNA from 1 species